CGGAGACACUCAUUGAUAAUCCUGGUUCACCCUUAAAUGUUGUUCCACAUAAUCUUUCACCUGUUUUUGCAUUUAAUGAAGAUGAAGAUGCAUCGUUUGAGGUUAGGGUUGUUGAAGAACCUGAACCUAUUUCUUCAGCGUUUCCAGCAUCAGUUCUAAAUCAAAAUUCCACAAAUGAUGAUGAAGAUGGUGUUCAGAAUUGUACUUUUACACAGUUGCUAUCAACAGGUAUUCAUGCGAACGAGGAGUUUUAUGUUCACCACACACCCAAUGGCACUAGAAUGUGGUGUCC